rnacentral:rRNA from 1 species
UACGUAGGUGGCAAGCGUUUGUCCGGAAUUACUGGGUGUAAAGCGCGUGUAGGCGGGAGGCCAAGUCUGCUGUGAAAUCGCUCGGCUCAACUGGCGAGGUCGGUGGAAACUGGUCCCCUGGGAGGACGGUAGAGGCGAGUGGAAUUCCCGGUGUAGUGGUGAAUGCGUAGAGAUCGGGAGGAACACCAGUGGCGAAGGCGGCUCGCUGGGCCUUACUGACGCUGAG